GAUGAACGCUGGCGGUAUGCUUAACACAUGCAAGUCGAACGGACUCUUCGGAGUUAGUGGCGAACGGGUGAGUAACGCGUGAGAAUCUGGCUUUGGGUUCGGGACAACCACUGGAAACGGUGGCUAAUACCGGAUGUGCCGAGAGGUAAAAGAGAAAUUGCCUGAAGAUGAGCUCGCGUCUGAUUAGCUAGUUGGUGAGGUAAAGGCUCACCAAGGCAGCGAUCAGUAGCUGGUCUGAGAGGAUGACCAGCCACACUGGGACUGAGACACGGCCCAGACUCCUACGGGAGGCAGCAGUGGGGAAUUUUCCGCAAUGGGCGAAAGCCUGACGGAGCAAUACCGCGUGAGGGAAGAAGGCUCUUGGGUUGUAAACCUCUUUUCUUAGGGAAGAACAAAAUGACGGUACCUAAGGAAUCAGCAUCGGCUAACUCCGUG
rnacentral:rRNA from 1 species